rnacentral:rRNA from 1 species
UAUCUCUGUAGAGUCUGCAUAUCAAUAAGCGGAGGAAAAGAAACUAACUAGGAUUCCCUCAGUAACGGCGAGUGAAGCGGGAAGAGCUCAAAUUUGAAAUCUUCAAGGUUCUACCUUGACGAAUUGUAGUUUAAAGAAGUGUUUUCUGUUGGAGUUUUGGUAAAAGUUCUUUGGAAUAGGACAUCAUAGAGGGUGAGAAUCCCGUAUUUGACCAUUAUUUCCAGCUUUGUGAUACACUUUCAAAGAGUCGGAUUGUUUGGGAAUGCAGUCCAAAAUGGGUGGUAAAUUUCAUCUAAAGCUAAAUACUGGCGAGAGACCGAUAGCGAACAAGUACCGUGAGGGAAAGAUGAAAAGAACUUUGAAAAGAGAGUUAAACAGUACGUGAAAUUGUCAAAAGGGAAGCGUUUGACACCAGUGUUGUUUUCCUCGAAAAUCAAUUGAAAAAAGGCAGGAUUUUGUGUUGUAUUGACUUUAUCAGCUUUCUGCACUCUUUUCUUGUCUUUUUUAAUGCACUUUUCGUUUAACAAGUCAACAUCAAUUUCUUUUGUUGUAAAAGGGUCAUUGGAAGGUGGCUUUCUUUUCGGAGAAAGUGUUUAUAGCCUUUGGCCUCUGCAAUCGGAGAGAUUGAGGUCUGCAGCGUAGAUCCUUCGGGGUUAGAUACAUUUGUGCUAAGUUAUAGCCUUUCAUAGACAACUUGUUGACUAUGAUCAGUCAUGUAGCUUACUCGCUUAUGCUAUUUUACCUACGCUUAGGAUGUUGACGAUCAGCUGAGCGCG